rnacentral:rRNA from 1 species
GACGAACGCUGGCGGCGUGCUUAACACAUGCAAGUCGAACGAAGAGCGAUGGAAGCUUGCUUCUAUCAAUCUUAGCGGCGAACGGGUGAGUAACGCGUAAUCAACCUGCCCUUCAGAGGGGGACAACAGUUGGAAACGACUACUAAUACCGCAUACGAUCUAACCUCAGCAUCGAGGAUGGAUGAAAGGUGCCUCUAUGUAUAAGCUAUCACUGAAGGAGGGGAUUGCGUCUGAUUAGCUAGUUGGAGGGGUAACGGCCCACCAAGGUGAUGAUCAGUAGCCGGUCUGAGAGGAUGAACGGCCACAUUGGGACUGAGACACGGCCCAGACUCCUACGGGAGGCAGCAGUGGGGAAUCUUCCGCAAUGGACGAAAGUCUGACGGAGCAACGCCGCGUGAGUGAUGACCGGCUUCGGGUCGUAAAGCUCUGUUAAUCGGGACGAAACUCCUUUCUUGCGAAUAGUUAGAAGGAUUGACGGCACCGGAAU